rnacentral:rRNA from 1 species
UACGAAGGGAGCUAGCGUUGUUCGGAAUUACUGGGCGUAAAGGGCGCGUAGGCGGUUAGAUAAGUUUGGUGUGAAAGCCCUGGGCUUAACCUAGGAAUAGCAUUGGAUACUGUCUGACUAGAGGCCGAGAGAGGGAAAUGGAAUUGCGAGUGUAGAGGUGAAAUUCGUAGAUAUUCGCAAGAACACCAGUGGCGAAGGCGAUUUCCUGGCUCGGUACUGACGCUAAGGCGCGAAAGCGUGGGGAGCAAACAGG